UCAACGGCCCUUUUCAGGGCCCUGUAAAUAUACUUGUAAAUAGAC
rfam:Camponotus floridanus CamFlo_1.0_2.contig6640, whole genome shotgun sequence.